ensembl:lncRNA
CUCUCUUUCCACUUCCCUGAGGAUGCAGGUGUCAGCCACUCUGAGGUUCAGUGGGAGCAGGACAAGAAGGAAGGCAGGGGUCUUAGUGGAACAGCAAAGAUUUAGUAUCCCUUCAAGAAAGUGGCUAUGAGGGCAAUGGGCAUCAAGGUUGGAUGGUGGCAGAUGGCCACCCAUGGUGGCCUAGUGACAGAAGGACAUGGAGAGGGAUGCAUGGAACCAGGGGUCAAGGUUUUGAACCCAGUUGCUGGCUGGUGGAGGCUGGAAUAUUCUUGGAAAUAAGGUUGCCCGUUUUGAUCAUUCGUGUUCAUGACUCAAUCUUUCCUCCUCCACACGGCCGCAGCAGACUGUUCGUGACCUUCUGCAAACAGAACACGCUUGCUGCUGCUCAGAGAUCCUGGGUCUCAGCCCUAGAUUCCAGGAAGCAAACAUGACUGACCCUGAGUGCCACAGGCCUGGCCAGGAGCCACCAGGCCUCAGGAGGACAGCUGGAUUCUACCUCUGCUAAGCAUCCAGGAGACUAGGUCUUCUAUAACUCUGAGGAUGAGAAUGACCUGGCUGAGGAUGACCGUGGGCAGCUGAUCUCCGUGCCUCUACUUCCUGUAUGCUGGAAUUACAAAUAUGUGCCACCAUGCCCUAUUUAUGUGGUGCUCAGUGUGGAACCCAGGGAUUUGUGAGAGCUGGGCAAACAUUUGGUCAGCUGCUCUCCCACCCCCAGAAUCUUUCCUAAGCGGUAUACUCUUCCUAUGUGCUAAAAUGAAAUAAGGAGAAGCCCAUCUCCUCACCCACCCCUGGUGUGUGUGUGUGUGUAUGUGUGUGAGUGUGCAUAUAUGUGUGAGUGAGUGUGCGUGUGUGUGUGUGUGUGUGUGUAUGUGUGUGAGUGUGCAUGUAUGUGUGAGUGAGUGUGCGUGUGUGUGUGUGUGUAUGUGUGUGAGUGUGCAUGUAUGUGUGAGUGAGUGUGCGUGUGUGUGCGUGUGUGUGUGUGUGUGUGUGUGUGUGUGUGUGUGAUGUCGGGAAUCAUCCUUUAUCACUUUCCCACUUUACUCUAUGAGGCAUGGUCCCUCAAUCAAACUCAGAGCACAUCAAUAAGACUAAUCUUGCCAGGGGGUGUGCUCUGGAGAUCCCGUCUCUGCCUCCCACGGCUGGAAUUGCAGGUCACAAACCACAAGGCAAGGAGUCCUACUCCAAUGAGUGUCAAGAACAGAUGACAGAGAUGAAACUAAGUACUGGGAAGAGGUCGUGUGACUCCUAAUGGUGUCCCUUUGACUGUGGCUUCUGAUGGAAGAGGAAACAGAACCUUUGUUGGAUCUCUAAAUUUGAGUUCAAGUUCACCAGUGAAUUCGCCAUGGAAUCCUGGAAGAGACUUGUAGCCUCCCUGGGUCACAGUCCCUUUGUCUUUGUGAUGGGGAUGACAUGUGUCCUCUAUGUCCUGAGAAGUGUUGGGAAGAGAGGGGGUAGACAGAUGGGACCUGUGUGAGCAGUGAUGAUGGAGGGUGAUACAGAAGGGUGACUGUAAAUCAGGCGUCCAGGCUGGGGUUGGUGAUACCAAUAGUGUGAUGGGAAGAAAAUUCUAGAAUGGUGUCUCUACAAAUUUCUUCAUCUGUGGGCACUGGAAACCUUGACCUUGUACUGUUUUAGAGAGCUGUCAACAACAUCACGAUGGCAGCAGCUUUUGCCUGCCCUUCCCCCAUUCCAUUGGGCUGUCUGGUUCUCAGAAUUGGCUGGACCUGCGCCAGGUGGGCCUGACACCAGUGUGCUGUCUGAGACUGCUGGCGACCAGACUCCAAGCUGAGCCUCCUAGGGAACCCCCAGCCUGCUCGAGGCAAUAUGGCUUCUGGGGAAUGUGAGGAGCUUGAGAGGAAUCAGAGUUGGUCAAUGAUAUUUCCUAGCUCCAUGACUGCCACUGUACAGUUGCCUCACACACUACGCUUUGAAACUGCCUUUGCUUUCGGUCAUUGUCCCAUUAAAAAUAUUUGCCAAGAGCUAACAUGGCCUCUGUACCGCUUGCAACCUAGUGAAUAAAUAAACAUGAAAAGAAU